GCUAUUGCUUACCCGCCCGCGCGUACCCGCGUUCAUCUUUCCCAUUCUCGCAAAAAUCACGGCUCCUCGAUGACUCGAUCCCAUCUCUUUCCUUCUGCAGAUGCAGCGCCGCCGCUCCAUUUCCCUCCCCAUCCAUCCGCACUGCCGCUCCCAGCCUAGCCCAGCGAGGUGGCGACCCCCUCCCUCCCUUUCCAUGGCAGAUGCAGCGGUGGCAACAGCCCGUCUUGAUGCCUUCCGUCCACGGCGUCCUGCCCCCACGGAGUCGUGGCCGCCGCCGCCGCCGCCGCCGCGCAGAACAUGAAGUCAAGGCGCGCCCCUCCCCUUAAUCGCCUUCGAGCAGGAGAGGUUGGAACCAAAAGAGAUAAGAACAUUCUGGAUGAUCAACCAAUAGAAUCAACAAGCUACUAUACAAGAUUCGAUCCAUACAGAUGUGUGGCUCCUUGGUGUUAAACAUGUUCGGGGUUGCCUUUGGUAGGCUUGAUUUGUGUUACGAGAUGGGAUUUGGUGGCCCCUGGGAUGUUGCUGCUGGAGCUGUGAUCCUUCAGGAAGCUGGAGAUCUUGUUUUAGACCCGUAAGUCAGCAAGUCUGGUCAAACCUGAACCCUGAAACACCUGAUCAUUUCUUAUAUAGCUUGAAGCAAAAUAUAAAUUACUUUGUUGUUGUUGACAAGAUUGGUUUAACCUAUGUUCAUAUAGGAUAUAGCCGAAGUUGAAUUCCUUUUUUUGGCAAUUAAGAUUUGUGUUUAUAGCAUGGUUCUCCUGAAGUUGAUCUUGCAGGCUUGCAGCAUUCCCUUGUUUAUUGACAUCCAGUUCUGCUAAAUUCUAUUCUGGUCAGAAAGCAUAAGCGACCUUAAUGAAAUAUUUUACUGAUGCCAUGUCACUUUGGGAUGCUAUUUUACUGAUGCCAUGUCACUUUGAUGUGCUAUUUUACUGAUGCCAUAUCACUUUGGUAUGCUUGUGAAUAGACUAUACCAGAAAAACCCAUGUAUUUUCCUUUUUGUUUCAAAAUUCUCCUCUUAAACGUUGCCCAUUGUAUAGGAAGAAUUAUCAACGUUACGUGGUAAAGUUGCAUUUUUAGAGGAGGUUGCUAAAUCAUGUCAAGAAAAAGAAACCAAUUACCAUCAGCUUAGUGAUAGGUUAGGAAAGGAAUUGAAGGAUAUCAAAGAUCAUGAUCAACGAAUGAGAUCAAAGGGUUCUAAAAUUAUUUUUGUCAGCAUUGAGAGGAGACAAGGUGGUCCCACUAGCCUUUGCAGAGGGGAUCAAGUGGCUGUCCGGUGGCAGAUUAGAUGUAGCAGCAGCCGGAUGAAUCCUUUGUCAUUUUUUAAAUCCUUAACUUCCAUGAUUCAUUACUGUUUUUACUGAUCCAAUUAUUACUUUGCCCCUGGUGUGACUCAUUAGCAACAAAAAAAAAAUAUGACUAACUCUGAAACAAAUUAGAUGGACCGUCAGUCACCCAGCUUUUGUUCCACUGAUAGUUGGCACCUGCAAAUAAAUUUGUCCUAACUUGUUUUGAUUGGAUCUCAGCAGUGGUUAUGUUGAAAGAGCUCAGAAGAAGUAAGAAAGAGGUGAGCUUAGUUCUGUACAUAUCGAAUUGCAUAAUUGGUAUAAAUCUUUUAUGCACACGAGUCCCACUUAUAAUUUGAUGACUAAUAUAUGUGAAGUGAUUAUGUGCUUCAUUCUUCUGGUUUUCCUGCAACUGGGGAGUCUUCAGCUAAUUAUAUAGUUUCUGGUCUUUAACAAUGGUCUUGAGGAUCUUGUGUCUGUUUUAUCAUUUCAUUAUCCUUGCAGGUAUAAUAUAUCGGUUUUUUAAUACAUGCCUGUAUAUCUGCAUUACAGAUUUCUUGCAGGUUCUUGUGAAACAAGUAGGACAGUGCUUUUUGGUUUCUAGAUGUUUGGUGAAUUGAAACAGAUACUAAAUGUAGUAAUAAGGGAGUAUUCUGACAUGACAGUGGCUGAAUUGUUACUAUAUUUUACUAAACCUUGCUAUUUGCCACAUUGGUUUUGUUCAGAAAUAAAACUGCACUUUGUGUUUGCACUAUAGGCUAUUUUUCUAAAUGUCUCCAGUGGCUUCAAGUUAACAGAGAUGGCAGGAGAUCUGGCCAUAGGCCAUACGCACUAGAUCUUUGUUCAUGAAAGUUGGCUUAAAAGACCUUAAUUUGAUGGUUAACGAAUUUCUUGUGAAUGUGAUUUCUUUUAAACAGGUGCGCAUGCACGUGCACUCUAUUAUAAACAUAAAACAUUUAUUCAAUAUUUUUUAAACACGUGCACC